AGCGAGUUAACAAAAAUUCAGAGAUUAAUCGGUGAUUAAUCGGGGCGUAAUUUUUAGGCUUUCUUGGUGUGUAAGUGGAUACAUAAUAUAUUUGCAUACAAAAUACAAAGAAUUCUUCUGUUACAGUUGGUAAAAGGCGUGGUUUAUUGUUAAAUGGACCCGGGUUCGAACCUAUUAUUAUCAGUUUUGUGUGUUUUACUAAUUUUUUGUCUUUUAAUGAAGGGCGAAAGCGUAUUUUCCUCAUCGUCUUCUUCUUUUGACCUAUUUUUUUCUGAGCACA
rnacentral:lncRNA from 1 species